UACGAAGGGGGCUAGCGUUGUUCGGAAUCACUGGGCGUAAAGCGUACGUAGGCGGACCAUUAAGUCGGGGGUGAAAUCCCAGGGCUCAACCCUGGAACUGCCUUUGAAACUGGUGGUCUUGAGUACGGGAGAGGUGAGUGGAAUUCCUGGUGUAGAGGUGAAAUUCGUAGAUAUCAGGAGGAACACCGGUGGCGAAAGCGGCUCACUGGCCCGAUACUGACGCUCAUGUUCGAAAGCGUGGGGAGCAAACAGG
rnacentral:rRNA from 1 species